UACGAAGGGGGCUAGCGUUGUUCGGAAUCACUGGGCGUAAAGGGCGCGUAGGCGGCGCGACAAGUCAGGCGUGAAAGCCCCGGGCUCAACCCGGGAAUUGCGCUUGAUACUGUCGUGCUUGAGGCCGGGAGAGGAUGGCGGAAUUCCCAGUGUAGAGGUGAAAUUCGUAGAUAUUGGGAAGAACACCAGUGGCGAAGGCGGCUCACUGGCCCGGUACUGACGCUGAGGUGCGAAAGCGUGGGGAGCAAACAGG
rnacentral:rRNA from 1 species